AGAAGGUUUUCGGAUCGUAAAGCUCUGUUGUUGGUGAAGAAGGAUAGAGGUAGUAACUGGCCCCUAUUUGACGGUAAUCAACCAGAAAGUCACGGCUAACUACGUGCCAGCAGCCGCGGUAAUACGUAGGUGGCAAGCGUUGUCCGGAUUUAUUGGGCGUAAAGCGAGCGCAGGCGGAAAGAUAAGUCUGAUGUGAAAGCCCCCGGCUUAACCGAGGAAUUGCAUCGGAAACUGUGUUUCUUGAGUGCAGAAGAGGAGAGUGGAACUCCAUGUGUAGCGGUGGAAUGCGUAGAUAUAUGGAAGAACACCAGUGGCGAAGGCGGCUCUCUGGUCUGUAACUGACGCUGAGGCUCGAAAGCAUGGGUAGCGAACAGGAUUAGAUACCCUGGUAGUCCAUGCCGUAAACGAUGAGUGCUAAGUGUUGGGAGGUUUCCGCCUCUCAGUGCUGCAGCUAACGCAUUAAGCACUCCGCCUGGGGAGUACGACCGCAAGGUUGAAACUCAAAGGAAUUGACGGGGGCCCGCACAAGCGGUGGAGCAUGUGGUUUAAUUCGAAGCAACGCGAAGAACCUUACCAGGUCUUGACAUCUAGUGCCAUCCUAAGAGAUUAGGAGUUCCCUUCGGGGACGCUAAGACAGGUGGUGCAUGGCUGUCGUCAGCUCGUGUCGUGAGAUGUUGGGCUAAGUCCCGCAACGAGCGCAACCCUUGUUAUUAGUUGCCAGCAUUAAGUUGGGCACUCUAAUGAGACUGCCGGUGACAAU
rnacentral:rRNA from 1 species